ensembl:lncRNA
GGUGCAACUAAAGAUUCCGAAUGCCAGAGCAAAGAUCCGGAGUGCCCAAACUAAGACCCCAUGCAGCAACCCCCUCCUCAGAAAAAAAGGACUGAUUCCAAGAAUGAGCAUUUCCUCCUCAUUCACCUGAAGUGUUUCCUUCCUGAAGCCAAAAGUCUUCUAGGACAGAAAGAAAGAGAGUAAAGAGAGACUGAAAUCCAGAGACUGCCACGCUGGCAUCUCUUGGGAUUAUCUUCUCGCAGUGAGGGUUGACUAAAUCAGCCACUUGACCAUCUUCUCAACUGUAAGUUUCAUUCACAAGUCUCAGAAAGAAGGUGGAAGUUGCCUGUCUCUUUCAGAAUUAUUCCCCGAGAUUUCAUCACCACCGACCUGUUUACUGCGCCAUCAAUACCACCAGUUCAGGCAGUGGAACUUGUGUCUAUGCGGGCAUCUGCAUAGCAGGAUAUGAGCGCUUAGUGAGCGCCCGAGUGCCUCGCCUGGAGAGACGGGGAAGAGCCAUUUGGCCGCUAAGAAGUCAUGGAUGCUGAGAGGGAAGGAAAACAAAUUCUUAGCCCUUUCUGAUAAGAGGAGUUGGAGAUGGGAGAAUGGCCUGAAAGUUGCCUGUAAUUUCUAAAACAGACUGUAAGGCAUCUACAAUGCAAUGACUGACUCUCUUCUCUGUGACUGUGAUGGCGGCCAGUGUACAGUCAGCGGAUCUGGGGCCCAUGCUGAGCUCUUUACACACGUUGUUUCAUGGAGCUCCGCCAGGAAGCCCUGUGGGAUGGGUGUUUUUUUGUCCCCCCUGCGGAGAUGAGGACUCGGAGACUCAGAGAAGUUGAGUGACCUGCCCUCAGUCACACAGCUGGUUGUGCCUGACUUGAGGCCAAGCUCUUCACUAUUAUGGGGUGGGGCUCCGCGGAGCUUUAGCCCUUGAAGGCAGAGGGCAGGAGAUGGGCUGUUGCGCAUUUCUUGUGUGAGCUUCUGUUUCUUCCUCUUUAAAAUAUGCACAAUACGGUCAUCUUCUCUGAAUUCUUGUAACAGUUAAACAAGAUAGCAAGUCAGUGUAGGAGAAAGGAGAUACCGCACCCUUCUGCCCUCUCUCCACUGUCUCUCUCUAUGCAGGGAGCUUGGCGCUAUGAGCCUGGUUGGACACAGACACCCCUGAGGACUCAGAGGAGCAUUUGGGGUCAGGGGGCCUGAUUCUUUCUGUGUGCAGGACUCCACUGGCAGUCUGGUGAAGCCGAUGUUCCCAAAUGCAUACACUGAAACACCCAAGAUUACGAGGGAAGCCAAUUGUACUGAAAUACUGUUACUGAAAGAGUUAAAACACACACACACACACACACCCCAAAUUUCUGACAGAGUAAUCUACCACUGUCUUUAGCAAGGCAUUCAAUAACCAGAUCUAGCAGCAGAUCUAAUAACUACCAUAAUUUCCAAGUUGUGAUGAGUGCAAAUAAUAUUUCAAGAGACCUGCAGCAACUGAGAGAAUGUGAAAGCAUCUUGAUUUCAGUUAGUGACAGGAGCACAGUGCUAAUCCAACUGGGGCUCACAGUGGAGAAAUACUAAAUUCACUUAGAGGUUAGUGAGAUGUAUCACCCUCUCCAGUUUGUUCCCAGAACCCAUUGCCCCCUAAAAUCUAUCCAUGGAUCCAGGUUAAGAGUAGAAAUGACGGGCUGAAAUACAUGUUAGUGUGAAUUACAAAGUACAAGUUAAGAGUAGACAACUGGG